rnacentral:misc_RNA from 1 species
UUAAGUUCAGCGGGUAUCCCUACCUGAUCCGAGGUCAAAGUGAUAGAAUGGCUUGCUGGGAGGAGGCAGGCUGGAGUCGCAACGCAAUGUGCUGCGCACGAAGCCAACUUGCCGGCUGCCAAUGAAUUUGAGGCGAGUCCACGCACAGAGGCGGAACAAACACCCAACACCAAGCAGAGCUUGAAGGUUUAAAUGACGCU